rnacentral:rRNA from 1 species
CCUGAACGCUGGCGGCGUGGCUAAGACAUGCAAGUCGUACGGAUGUAGCAAUACAUCAGUGGCGAACGGGAGAGUAAUGAAUCGCUAAUGUGCCCCGGACUCUGGGAUAGCUAGUCGAAAGAUUAGGUAAUACCAGAUGAUAUAUCUCUAUCGCAUGAUAGAGAUCUCAAAGGUCCGCCGGUCUGGGAGCAGGCGAUUUCGUAUCAGCUAGUUGGUGAGGUAACGGCUCACCAAGGCGACGACGCGUAGCCGGACUGAGAGGUUGGCCGGCCUCAUUGGGACUGAGACACUGCCCAGACUCCUACGGGGGGCUGCAGUAACGAAUCUUCCGCAAUGCACGAAAGUGUGACGGAGCGACGCCGCGUGUGGGGACGAAG